UACGUAGGGGGCAAGCGUUGUCCGGAAUUAUUGGGCGUAAAGAGCGCGUAGGCGGUCCGAUAAGUCGGCUGUGAAAGUCCAGGGCUCAACCCUGGAAAGCCGGCCGAUACUGUCGGACUAGAGUUCGGAAGAGGCGAGUGGAAUUCCCGGUGUAGCGGUGAAAUGCGCAGAUAUCGGGAGGAACACCAAUAAAGGCGAAGGCAGUUAACUAUUCUAUUCCUGACAUUGAGGCAUGAAAGCGUGGGGAGCAAAACGG
rnacentral:rRNA from 1 species